GGCCCAUUUUGUCUGCAGCCUGACAUGUUUUGCUCGGCGGGCACAGCCGGCCUCAAGUAUUUAUUUAUUUAAGUAACCGGCUCAUGAGUCAGUCGGUCGUCUUGGUGGUAAAACGCAACCCGCUAUCAAGGAAAUAGCUGAUGAACGACAUGGCAUGGAUGCCGUGCCAACACACCACUCAUGACUUCUGAAAAUCCCUUGUUUUGGGGGCCUGCACAGGUCAAGUGGGGCUGCGGUUCCUCACGCUGCUCUCCAGGACCCGCCGCCAAGCGCAUCUGAGAUCCUUCAAAAGUUGCCUCAUGAUCGCUGCUCGCCGCCAAUGCAUGUUUGCUGUAAUUACACCGUGUCUAAAGGAGAAGCACAAAAGACUUGUUGAUUUUGGAUGGAGGCUGACCUGGGCUCCUGGCAGGGUGUGGGCUGCCCCGGUGAGGACGUGACCAGCUGGGGCAAGCGCUGAACCGGGGCCAUCGCAGCCCCGCCGCCUUGGCCUCACCCUGCUUCCAGCUGACUCGAGCCGGCUUUCUUUGGAGAAUCACCCGAGGGGAACAAAACGAGGAACUGGAGUCCCUAUAAAAAGCAAUUUUGGCUCCUUCCCCCAGCCAAGUCCCCGAAUGAUAAUCUCUGAAGUGACCUGCCCCUCCCUCUCAAGCUGCUAACCGAGCUCAUUGUCUUUCUCUGGUCUCUGUGAGGAAACAUCUUGGCUUCCGAGAGCCCCAUCCACAGUGGCCAUCCCAUCUGAGCAGGGCUUCCUGCUUCCCCCACAUAGGCUGUCCUGGGCAGUCAAGAGGUCGGCCAGAAGGUGCUGGAAAGGAGAGCGAGCUGGCUUGGAGCUGGGGACCCUGGCUGCAGUUCAGAGCAUAGAAGCAAGAAGCCCGGGAGUAAUGAGACCGCCCAGUGUCCACCAGUCUUGAUUUCUAAGGCCACUGCCCACCAAAAGGAACUCAACCUUUCUGGAGAAAUGGCUGAUUCCAGAUCUGAGGAAAGGAAAGUACAGGGUCUGGCACGUGAGGAAGGGCGGCAGCCCCGGAAGCAGCUUGAAUCGCUGCCCCAGCUCACCAGAGUCCCUCUGCUGCAUCCCGCGUCACUUCUGAGUCUUGGCAAUUUUAUAAUUGGCCCGAUGGGUUAUGAUUUGAAACCAGAAGAGCCAAUUAGCAGGAAUCUCCUUUGACCUCCGGUUAGGGGUGGUAGGAGACGAGGUAAUGACUUGAGACAGAGAAAGAAAAAAACAAAACUAAACUAAAAAUAAAAAUAGAAAAUAUUAAGAGCAAAGACUUAAAUCUUUUUGGCUCUCUCAUUAAUAACCCUGUCAUGCCGAUCACAAGCUCUAAACAGCAAUGCUGGUUGCAGCUGAAUUUUUUAUACUUUCUAUUAAUCUUUAAUGAUAGCUUGGUCACCUAGUCUCUUUUAUCUUGUCAGAUAAAUGUAUGGUUAACAGGAUAAUGAGAUUUCUAAAGCCCCAUUCCAGCUCCCAGCUCUCUAGUGCAUGUGGUGACCUCUGACCCCCGGCAGACAGCGACACCAGGGUGCUGAUAAUUGGUAGGUGUGCUGGGAAUGUAUUGGAAGCUGACGGAUGGUUUAAACUUUGAUUUGAGGUCAGCGAGGUCACAGAGCUCUGGAAGACCAGCCCGAUUUUAUUACCAACUGCCUCUGAUGGGGAUAUAAUUAGAUUUAGCUAUUGCUUUAUUAAUAAGUAAUCGCUUCCCCCAUCGCUGUGGGUGGGCAAAUGUAUUCCUUGGAUAAUUUGCGGACACUAGUCUGGCUUUAUUAAUAAGAAUAUAUCAUGCAUAUUUGACCAGGCACAGACACCCAUCUGGUUUGCUGGACUUUGGGGGGACUUUAUCAUUUUCACUCAUUUGCGUAUUGAAUAAAUCAGCCCUGCCUUGUGAAAUCUAUCCUUGCCUCGGUGACCUCGAACUCUCCGUUGUUGUAGGGAACCUCUGUUUUGGCCU